CGCUAUCACUCCUACGGGGAGGCAGCAGUAGGGAAUCUUCCAACAAUGGGCGCAAGCCUGAUGGAGCAACACCGCGUGAGUGAAGAAGGGUUUCGGCUCGUAAAGCUCUGUUGUUAAAGAAGAACACGUAUGAGAGUAACUGUUCAUACGUUGACGGUAUUUAACCAGAAAGUCACGGCUAACUACGUGCCAGCAGCCGCGGUAAUACGUAGGUGGCAAGCGUUAUCCGGAUUUAUUGGGCGUAAAGAGAGUGCAGGCGGUUUUCUAAGUCUGAUGUGAAAGCCUUCGGCUUAACCGGAGAAGUGCAUCGGAAACUGGAUAACUUGAGUGCAGAAGAGGGUAGUGGAACUCCAUGUGUAGCGGUGGAAUGCGUAGAUAUAUGGAAGAACACCAGUGGCGAAGGCGGCUACCUGGUCUGCAACUGACGCUGAGACUCGAAAGCAUGGGUAGCGAACAGGAUUAGAUACCCUGGUAG
rnacentral:rRNA from 1 species